rnacentral:rRNA from 1 species
UCGAGCGAGGCGGGGUAGCAAUACCCCAGUCGAGCGGCGAACGGGCGAGUAACGCGUGGAUGACCUGCCCUUCAGCGGGGAAUAACCCGGGGAAACUCGGGCUAAUACCGCAUACGACCGGAAGGUGAAAGGGGGCCGCAAGGCUCUUACUGAAGGAGGGGUCCGCGUCCGAUUAGCUAGUUGGUAGGGUAAUGGCCUACCAAGGCGACGAUCGGUAGCCGGCCUGAGAGGGUGAUCGGCCACACUGGAACUGAGACACGGUCCAGACUCCUACGGGAGGCAGCAGUGGGGAAUUUUGCGCAAUGGGCUAACGCCUGACGCAGCAACGCCGCGUGGAGGAUGAAGGUCUUUGGAUUGUAAACUCCUGUCAGCAGGGAAAAAGGGACUGGGCCGAAUACGUCCGGAACUUGAUUGUACCUGCAGAGGAAGCCCCGGCUAACUCUGUGCCAGCAGCCGCGGUAAUACAGAGGGGGCAAGCGUUA